GGCUCAAUGGUCUAGUGGUAUGAUUGCUGCUUCGGGCUUGUCUGAAUAGGCACCCCUGUUCUCCAGAAUGGAUGAAAUGUAGCAGGUCCCGGUUUCAAAUACCGGUUGAGCCC